rnacentral:rRNA from 1 species
AGUGAACGCUGGCGGGAGGCCUAACACAUGCAAGUCGAACGGCAGCACAGUAAGAGCUUGCUCUUACGGGUGGCGAGUGGCGGACGGGUGAGGAAUACAUCGGAAUCUACUUUUUCGUGGGGGGUAACGUAGGGAAACUUACGCUAAUACCGCAUACGACCUACGGGUGAAAGCAGGGGAUCUUUGGACCUUGCGCGAUUGAAUGAGCCGAUGUCGGAUUAGCUAGUUGGCGGGGUAAAGGCCCACCAAGGCGACGAUCCGUAGCUGGUCUGAGAGGAUGAUCAGCCACACUGGAACUGAGACACGGUCCAGACUCCUACGGGAGGCAGCAGUGGGGAAUAUUGGACAAUGGGCGCAAGCCUGAUCCAGCCAUACCGCGUGGGUGAAGAAGGCCUUCGGGUUGUAAAGCCCUUUUGUUGGGAAAGAAAAGCAGCAGGUUAAUACCCCGCUGUUCUGACGGUACCCAAAGAAUAAGCACCGGCUAACUUCGUG